ensembl:lncRNA
GCCUUUUAGAGCCAUUUAGUUACCUUGGAGAAACAGGAAUUUGUAGGGAAAGUGAUCCUGCUUUAGAGAUGUCUCCUUAAAGUAAUGUAAUGAUCUGGACUUGCUCAUGUCAAUUUUGGUAAAAGGUAUUUUGUUUAUUAGGGAUAAGAACAGUCUUUGAAGCCUGAAUUUCCCCCAAUUUUUGUUUAUUACUAUAAAGAAAUAUAAUAUUGGGUAUCUUGUAGUAUAGAGGACGUUUAAGUGAAUAGAUAGGCUCUUGAACAGUUACAGUCAUGUUUUCACCAAGAAACAGUAAGAUAGACUGAAGGCAAUAGAAGUGAUUGGGCAUGUUGGAGGAAAAGAGAAAGCAAUCAACAGCAACUUUUAAAAUAAUUUAUAGGAACUGUUUAGAGUCCUUGAUCAGAAUAGAAUCUCAUAACUCUAGGGUAGAUUGCAUCAUUUCCUUUUUUUCCCCCAGAAGAAGUGAGGUCCAACGUCAUGUGGCCAUUUAUCAGCCGAGCUGGCUCUUCCCUACUCUGCGGAGCUAAGGGCCCCCUGUACUAUGAGAUUCAUUUUCCUGAGCUGUGUACCAGGGAGCUUGAAUGUAUAAGGCUUGGUUGGAGUCCUUGAUUUGCUGCAUGAUUCUAAGAUUGUGAUGCUCAUCGUAAGUUUAGAGCAGUAUCCCCAUUAUAUAUUAGGUACCUGUGUGAGCAAGGUGGGUCUGGUUUUCCAGUGGCCAAUUUCCAGUGGCCAUUUACUGCAUCCCUGGUUCUCCUCUUCCUUGAGUGUACUACAAGGGUCUGAUGCGGACAUCUGUUUUUACUGGUGACUUGCUGCUUUAUUAUAGUUUGGAUUUUCAUUGCAAUCAUUUCUUGAUUAUGUUUUUAGAAUGGAUCAGUGAUAUUCUAGUCUGAAGUGAACAUAGUCCAAAAGUCACUUGUUUAGUUUUGCAGUUAAAAAUAUUUCCAAACCAAUGUUAGUCACAUUCCCUCCUUCUUAUUCACACGAAACUUCUUUUCCCCGUGACUUGGAGCCAUCAUGAUUGAUUGUCUUUCCCAUUUCUGUCCUUGCAGUCUUAGUAUUUAUGGCUGUUUUCCUCUGCUAGGCUAUGGGUUCCUUAAGGGCCGGAGCCAUGUCACAUGUCACUGUGUUCCUAGUACCUAACAGUAGGCUAGGUAUGCAGUAACUCUUCAGCAAAUAUUUUAAAAAUGUAAUGCCGUGGCUUUCCUGUGUUUGCUUUUUUAUAGCGCAGUUCCCUUCCUCACUGGUGGUGGUGGUGGAAUUUCUUCUUAGACUUCUUACUGUUUUUUACUCACUAGGAUAGAAACCAGCUUGUCCAAGGGUAUGGAAUGGAAUGGGGUAGGAAUAUGAUGUAAUGAGCUUUUUGUAAACAGACUGAUCAGGUUUUAAAUCCCAGCUCUGCCCUUCUCUAGCUGUGAGAUUGUGGAUUUGUGACUUACAAACUGCUUCUGUGUUUGUAAAAGGGUUUGGUUCACUAAAUGAAAUAAUGGUUAACUAACACCCAGUCCAGUGGAUGCCCAUAGGUGGCAGCUUUUCCUCUUCCACUGUGACAAGUACGGUUAAAUAGGUAUUUCAUGAGCCUGAAGAAAGCGCCAUUCUCUACAUGGUCUUUGAAAUAGUUAUUGUGACCUCCUUCUAGAGGUUGGUCCUGCUUAAUCCUUGACUCUUAGUUGAAGUCACCUGAAAAGAGAAUCCCAUUUGUAAACAAUGAUACUGCUGUGAAUAUGACAAGAAGAUUUAAGUAACCUGAAUGAUUUCCUUCCCUGAUUAUAUGCCAGGGGAUGCUUGCAGGGAAAUAUCAAGAAAAAAAUGUAUUGAAAGGAAUCACAAGCAUUUCAUGAAUAAUCCACACGGUGUUCCUGAAUUGACAGAGUGCCGUGUCUGUGACUGUUUGUAGAUGCUGUGCUGUAAUCUGCUAAAGUCAGUAUGUGAUUACAAAUAAAUGACCAGAAGUAUUUGUCUACAAAGGAGACUCAGGGUGUUGUGCACUCACUAAAGAUCAAGUGUAAGUUUCCAGGGAAAGGGCUUGCUUGUUUGCACCUUCCGUUUUAGUCUGGUGAUGGUUUAGGUGCAGCGAGGCACACAGGGGUGGAUGCUUGGACUUAAAGACCACCUUUUGAAUUGUUUGGCAUAAACAACCGUUGUUUUUCUUCUGCAGGAUCUUUUUUUCCAGUCCCAUAAGCGAAGAGGGAAAAAUAUUUAAAUUGCAUAAUUAAGGAAUUUAGAUUGUUAUAUUUCAUAUUAAAAAGUAAUACUAAUAGCUUUUGUAAAGGUAUAUCAAGAGAAUCAUUUUUUAAAAACUCAUUUUCAUUGAGUUUUUACUAGGUGUCUUUUGCCAAAUUUAUCUAGUUCGUAAAUAUAAACACUUGUCAUAUGUUAAUGUUUAUUAUAUCUGAAUAAUACAAAGACUUAAAUAGUGCUCUAAAAGUUUUCCAUGGCCAUUGAAUUUCCAACAAUUUUUAGGCCUGCUGGAUUUAUUUUUUAAGUUAGUGUUUCAGUUUAAAGUUUUGCUCUUUGUUAAAAAAUAGGAAACUUAGAAAAACAGGUAAAGUGGCAGUUCGUCAUGUCCCAGGGCCCUUCUCACAGCUCGCCACCCCCGCAUUCCAAGUCAUUAUCUAGUUUCUGAAUAUGGCAUUGCAACCCUGAUUGAUUUAUUUUUUUUUUUACUGUUCUGCACUAAAGCAUUUGAGAUAAGUUCUUAGUGUUGAGGAAAUCCUGAAUCCUAUUGCCAGGGGGUUAAAAGAAAUACAGCGACAGGCUAUGAAAUAGGGUUGUCAUAACUUAUCAGUGGCUAGUAAAUAGGGUAGUUGCCUUCUGACACCAUUUUGAGUGAAGGCAGUUUAAUUGCAUUGCCUCUGUUAAGAUAAGCAUUUGGGAUCCAUAGUCAAAUGUGUGAAUGCUGUGGUUAAAGUAUUUCCAUUAUAUAAGAUCUGAUUUCUUAAGUGAUUUUUCUUUCUAAGUUCCACUUUACAUUAAGUUAUUUGGACAGUGUCUUUCACUGUGUGUGUGCAUGGAGAAACGUCACCUACAAAUGUAUGUAAAUUCAGUGACUGUGAAAAAUUGGAAAUUUGCAAACACAUGAUUGACAGUUGGUGAUUUACCCCCAUGUGUCACUACCUCCCUCACCCCCCAAAGCCUGUGAAAACAAUUAAACAGUUC